rnacentral:lncRNA from 12 species
UUUCCAUGUAAGGUAACAUAUUCACAGGUUCCAGGGAUUAGGACCUGGAUGUCUGCCAAGUACCAUUAUUUGGCUGAUCACACCCUCCAAUAAAUUCUCAACCUGUUUCAGAAAACCAAGAAAGGUUUCAAUUACCAUUGACCCUUGAACAACAUGGGGUUAGGUGUGCUGACUUCCUGCACAUAUGAAAAUACACAUAUAACUUUUGAUUCCCUAAUAAUUUAACUAUAGCCCACUGUUGACUGGAAGUCUUACCAGUAACAGUUGAUUUACACAUUUCGUGUAUCACAUACUAUGUUCUUAUGGUAAAGUAAGCUAGAGAAAAGAAAAUGCUGUUAAGAAAAUCACAAGAAAGAGAAUAUACAUUUAUGGUACCGUACUGUAUUUAUCGGCGACAAUCCACAUGCAAGUGGACCCCCGUGGUUCAAACUCGUGUUGGUCAAGGGUCAGCUCUGUUUGCCACUGAAACCCCUGACUCGCGUUGUCACAAUGCUUGGAAUGGUCAGAGCUGGAGCCGGAGUCUGCUUCCUUUGGAGGAAACAGAACCUACAGAGAGUCAGCUGGACACGGAAGAGAGUCAUCCCCAGCAUCUUGCACACCUGCUGGACUCCCAUCCCCUCGGCCUCUGCAGAAAUCGGGCUUCGCUUCCUGCUGCCUCACCGCAGGGCAGCAUCAUGGCCCAUGCUGCUGCCCCUGGAAUGGGCUGACAUCUCAAGGCCGGAGCUCCAGGCUGGCUGCCUGCCGUCAAGCUCUCAUCUCCUGCGGUGUCUGGCCAGGUGGCUGCCAGUUGGCCAUGGGGUGGCAAAGAGCUGCUGACUUGGGCUGGGGAAAAUGUUGAAUGUGUGCCCUACUUGAGUAGAAGGCUCCCAGUACAUGGGGGAACUCACACAGGGCCCCGCAUUGGGACCACUGGACCCACAGCCAGGAAAGACCACUUCUGAGUUGAGCCAGGCUUCCCAUUGUGAUCAGCUGAGUCCACUAGGAAUGGUGGGAAGAACUGGGAGACACAGGAUGGAUGUGAAAGCCUGAAGCUGCAUGGGGGCCACACAGCUGAAGAGAUCCCUUGGCAGGAGUGUGAAAGGGCUAAGUGUUUUACAGACUUGCACAAUCCAAUUCCGUGCACGUUUAUUAAAUCCUUGCAAUGUGCUGAAUAUAAAUGAGAGUAACUCCAGGCCCCGUCCUCUGGGGGGUGACCUACACAAAAGCCAGAGGUGGUGGCCCAGCAGCAUCAAGUGCUCAAGGCAGAAAAAGGAAAGGGGGACACCAGUGAGGGCUAGUGUACGGUAGGCCGAGGGGGCAUCUGAAUAGAGCUCUGAAGAAAAAGGAGGUAGCAAAGGAAGACAGUGGGAGGGGGCAUCCAGGAGGCAGGGAAAGAAUGUCACGUGACCUGGGGACCACUCCUGGCCAGGGGAAGGGCCUGCUAUAUAAUCUGUGGGCUCCAUGCAAAAUAAAACAGUCAUGCUUCCCUUCCCA